AGUGAACGCUGGCGGUAGGCCUAACACAUGCAAGUCGAACGGCAGCACAGUAAGAGCUUGCUCUUACGGGUGGCGAGUGGCGGACGGGUGAGGAAUACAUCGGAAUCUACUUUUUCGUGGGGGAUAACGUAGGGAAACUUACGCUAAUACCGCAUACGACCUACGGGUUAAAGCAGGGGAUCUUCGGACCUUUCGCGAUUGUAUGAGCCGAUGUCGGAUUAGCUAGUUGGCGGGGUAAAGGCCCACCAAGGCGACGAUCCGUAGCUGGUCUGAGAGGAUGAUCAGCCACACUGGAACUGAGACACGGUCCAGACUCCUACGGGAGGCAGCAGUGGGGAAUAUUGGACAAUGGGCGCAAGCCUGAUCCAGCAAUACCGCGUGGGUGAAGAAGGCCUUCGGGUUGUAAAGCCCUUUUGUUGGGAAAGAAAAGCAGCAGGUUAAUACCCCGCUGUUCUGACGGUACCCAAAGAAUAAGCACCGGCUAACUUCGUG
rnacentral:rRNA from 1 species